UUAUAUUAAGGGUAUUCGUUUAAACGUGUAAUGUUACCCAUCGCAUAAAUUUAUGCAAAUACGCAGUGUGUUACAUGAACGCACUUCAAAUUCUUUGUGUAAAUGCCACUUAUUUAUGUAUUAAACAGCUGUUUGGGUGUCAAAAUAUUAAAAUGCCGAAAGUUAGCGAAAAAGCAAAAUUUAUUCAACUUUGCGAAAAAUCACUAGUAUUUGAUUUGUUAAUGUUGGAGCUGUUUGGAAAACAUGACGAAAUCCAACGCAAAAAGGAAGAUGAAAUUAUGGAAGACUUUAGCUUUGCAUUGGCAGCUGCUGCAUAUUUUAGAUAUGGAUCUACAUUUGUUCAUCAUUCUGUCCCAAAAUCACCCAACUUUUUAAUAGAUGUAUUACCGCAUUUGGAUGAAAACAGGUUUCGAGAAAUUGUGCGAGUCAGCAAAACCACAUUUGAUUUUAUCAUUGAUCUGAUAAAGGAUGACGAAGUGUUCAAUGGUCCACGUUCAUGUAAAUAGUUUCCUAUCUAAAUUCAAUUUGCUGUAGUAAUGUACCGACUGGGUUCAUGUGGAGAAGGAGCAACAAUUACUAAAAUUGCUAGUUUGUUUGGUAUUAGCGAUGGUGGAGUAAUACAUUUGAGCUAUUUACAUAUGUAUCGGUUAAAAUUUGUGUUUCAGCUGUAUUUUAAAUUUCUCAAUAGGUCAUGACCAACAGGGUAUUUGAUGCAAUUAUUAAAAGGAAAACUCAGUUUCUGUUUUGGCCGGACCCUGUAGAGCGUAGAGCUUUAGUUGUUCAAACACUCAGUGAGCUACCACAUUGUGUUGGCUACGUAGAUGGAACGGAGAUAAAAUUGGCGGAAAAACCCACUGUAGAUUGCGAAGCAUAUUUUUCUCGCAAGCAUAUAUAUUUAUAUAUAUUCUGGGAACCAGCAUUAACAACACCAACAAUGUCAGCCUUGAAAUCCAACGCAGAAUCACUCUUGCCAACAGGUGCUACUUUGGACUGAGUAGGCAAUUGAAAAGUAAAGUCCUCUCUCGACGAACCAAAAUCAAACUCUAUAAGUCGCUCAUUAUUCCCGUCCUGAUGUAUGGCGCUGAAGCGUGGACGAUGACAACAUCCGAUGAGACGACUCUUGGGGUUUUCGAGAGAAAGGUUUUGCGCAAGAUUUUUGGUCCUCUAAACAUUGGCAACGGCGAAUACCGCAGGCGAUGGAACGAUGAGCUGUACGAUUUAUACGACGACAUUGACAUAGUUCAGCGAAUAAAAAGACAGCGGCUACGCUGGCUAGGUCAUGUUGUACGGAUGGAAGAAAACACUCCAGCUCUGAAAGUAUUCGAUGCAGUACCCGCUGGAGGAAGCCGCGGAAGAGGACGACCUCCACUCCGGUGGAAAGACCAAGUGCAAAGUGACCUGGCUUCACUUGGUGUUUCCAAUUGGCGCCAAAAAGCAAAAAGGAGGAAUGAGUGGCGCGCUCUGGUGGAUUCGGCUAUAAUCGCUUAAAGCGGUUCCUACGCCAAAUAUAUAUAUAUAUAUAUAUAUAUUCACUUAAGGCUCAAUGUGUGUGUGACCACAAACUAGUAAUUCGUCAUAUGGUAUUGGGGUAUCCCGGUAGUGUUCACGACGCUAGGAUAUACAACAAUUGCGAGCUAUCCACAAACGCCACUGAAAUGCUAACAGGAUCAGAGUGGUUAGCUGCAGACAGUGCAUAUAAAUUAACUUCGACCCUUAUUACUCCUUUUAGAAUAAACGCAACGGAAGGCACCUUGAAUCAACGAAUUCUGUUCAACAGAACGUUCAGCCAGUACCGAAUAAGAAUUGAGCAUUGCUUUGGUUUAUUGAAAGAACGUUUUAAUAGCUUGAAAGAACUCAAAAUUCAAAUAAAGAGUGAUAAUUCGGUAAAGUUUGCAUGCCGGUGGAUAUUAGUUUGUGCGAUAUUGCACAAUAUUAUAUUAAAAGAAAACGACGGUGGUUUUGAUGUUGACGAAGAAAGCAUUAGUGAAAACAGUGAAGUCGACGAGCCUGGGGAUCAAAACUUACCAACAGUUGAAGGUGCAUCUAAGCGCCUUUCAUUGUUAUCACUAAUGGAAACUUAAAAAUAAAGUAUUGAAACUCAUGUUUACAUAUCUUUAAAAUCCAUUAA